ensembl:lncRNA DLGAP1-AS2 DLGAP1 antisense RNA 2
ACAUCUGUACGUUGCAAUCUGUGGAUCAGCUACGAGAUUAUGUGAUGCAACAAAAUUCAAAUAUGAAAACCAUCUCGGAGGCCGGGCGCGGUGGCUCACGCCUUUAAUCCCAGCACUUUGGGAGGCCGAGGUGGGUGGAUCAUUUGAGGUCAGAAGUUCAAGACCAGCCUGGCCAACACGGUGAAACCCUGUCUCUACUAAAAAUACAAAAAUUAACUGGGCGUGGUGGCACAUGCCUGUAAUCCCAGCUACUCGGGAGGCUGAGGCAGGAGAAUUGCUUGAACCUGGGAGGCGGAGGUUGCAGUGAGCCGAGAUCACGCCAUUGUUCUCCAGCCUGGGCAACAAGAGCAAAACUCUGUCUCAAAAAUAAAAUAAAAAAUUGCUUUAAAAAAUAA